rnacentral:rRNA from 1 species
CCUACGGGAGGCAGCAGUGGGGAAUUUUGGACAAUGGGGGCAACCCUGAUCCAGCCAUGCCGCGUGAGUGAAGAAGGCCUUCGGGUUGUAAAGCUCUUUCGGCCGGAACGAAAUCGCGCACGUGAAUAACGUGCGUGGAUGACGGUACCGGAGUAAGAAGCACCGGCUAACUACGUGCCAGCAGCCGCGGUAAUACGUAGGGUGCGAGCGUUAAUCGGAAUUACUGGGCGUAAAGCGUGCGCAGGCGGUUCGCUAAGUCAGACGUGAAAGCCCCGGGCUUAACCUGGGAACGGCGUUUGAAACUGGCGGGCUCGAGUACGGCAGAGGGGGGUGGAAUUCCACGUGUAGCAGUGAAAUGCGUAGAUAUGUGGAGGAACACCGAUGGCGAAGGCAGCCCCCUGGGCCGAUACUGACGCUCAUGCACGAAAGCGUGGGGAGCAAACAGGAUUAGAUACCCUGGUAGUCCACGCCCUAAACUAUGUCAACUAGUUGUCGGGGAAGCAAUUCCUUGGUAACGCAGCUAACGCGUGAAGUUGACCGCCUGGGGAGUACGGGUCGCAAGAUUAAAACUCAAAAUGAAAUUGACGG